UGUGGUAUGGUAAGGUGUGCUGUGUUGUGUGUGUGGUAUGGUAAGGUGUGCUGUGUUGUAUUGUGGUAUGGUGUGCUGUGUUGUGUUGUGGUAUGGUAAGGUGUGCUGUGUUGUGUUGUGGUAUGGUAAGGUGUGCUGUGUUGUGUUGUGGUAUGGUAAGGUGUUCUGUGUUGUGUUGUGGUAUGGUAAGGUGUUCUGUGUUGUGUUGUGGUAUGGUAAGGUGUGCUGUGUUGUGUUGUGGUAUGGUAAGGUGUGCUGUGUUGUGUUGUGGUAUGGUAAGGUGUUCUGGGUUGUGUUGUGGUAUGGUAUGUGUUAACCUGGCAUUAAAAUAGACAAAAUAGUCGUUAUAACAGUUAAUGUCUGUUGCAAUACAACUUUAUAAAUGUUUAUGAAUGUUUAUCUCAGUUGUUCUCAUGAAAGCUUAUUUACGUGUUUAUGAACACAACUCUGAAGGGCUACUGUAUUAUCUAACAUUUUCUCAUCCUAAAUC
ensembl:lncRNA